rnacentral:rRNA from 1 species
GACGAACGCUGGCGGCGUGCUUAACACAUGCAAGUCGAACGGAAAGGCCCCUUUGGGGGUACUCGAGUGGCGAACGGGUGAGUAACACGUGAGUAACCUGCCCUUGACUUCGGGAUAACUUCAGGAAACUGGGGCUAAUACCGGAUAGGAAUCCUUGCUGCCUGGUGGGGGUUGGAAAGCUUCGGCGGUUUUGGAUGGACUCGCGGCUUAUCAGCUUGUUGGUGGGGUAGUGGCUUACCAAGGCUUUGACGGGUAGCCGGCCUGAGAGGGCGACCGGCCACAUUGGGACUGAGAUACGGCCCAGACUCCUACGGGAGGCAGCAGUGGGGAAUAUUGCACAAUGGGCGGAAGCCUGAUGCAGCAACGCCGCGUGCGGGAUGACGGCCUUCGGGUUGUAAACCGCUUUCAGCAGGGGCGAAGCUUGUGGUGACGGUACCUGCAGAAGAAGCACCGGCUAACUACGUG